rnacentral:rRNA from 1 species
AACGAACGCUGGCGGCAUGCCUAACACAUGCAAGUCGAACGAGACCUUCGGGUCUAGUGGCGCACGGGUGCGUAACGCGUGGGAAUCUGCCCUUGGGUUCGGAAUAACAGUUGGAAACGACUGCUAAUACCGGAUGAUGACGUAAGUCCAAAGAUUUAUCGCCCAAGGAUGAGCCCGCGUAGGAUUAGCUAGUUGGUGAGGUAAAGGCUCACCAAGGCGACGAUCCUUAGCUGGUCUGAGAGGAUGAUCAGCCACACUGGGACUGAGACACGGCCCAGACUCCUACGGGAGGCAGCAGUGGGGAAUAUAGGACAAUGGGCGAAAGCCUGAUCCAGCAAUGCCGCGUGAGUGAUGAAGGCCUUAGGGUUGUAAAGCUCUUUUACCCGGGAUGAUAAUGACAGUACCGGGAGAAUAAGCUCCGGCUAACUCCGUG